rnacentral:rRNA from 1 species
UACGUAGGGCGCAAGCGUUGUCCGGAAUUAUUGGGCGUAAAGAGCUCGUAGGCGGUCUGUCGCGUCUGCUGUGAAAACUCGGGGCUUAACCCCGGGCCUGCAGUGGAUACGGGCAGGCUGGAGUUCGGUAGGGGAGACUGGAAUUCCUGGUGUAGCGGUGAAAUGCGCAGAUAUCAGGAGGAACACCGGUGGCGAAGGCGGGUCUCUGGGCCGAAACUGACGCUGAGGAGCGAAAGCGUGGGGAGCAAACAGG